rnacentral:rRNA from 1 species
GGCGGCGUGCUUAACACAUGCAAGUCGAACGGAAAGGCCCUGCUUUUGUGGGGUGCUCGAGUGGCGAACGGGUGAGUAACACGUGAGUAACCUGCCCUUGACUUUGGGAUAACUUCAGGAAACUGGGGCUAAUACCGGAUAGGAGCUCCUGCUGCAUGGUGGGGGUUGGAAAGUUUCGGCGGUUGGGGAUGGACUCGCGGCUUAUCAGCUUGUUGGUGGGGUAGUGGCUUACCAAGGCUUUGACGGGUAGCCGGCCUGAGAGGGUGACCGGCCACAUUGGGACUGAGAUACGGCCCAGACUCCUACGGGAGGCAGCAGUGGGGAAUAUUGCACAAUGGGCGGAAGCCUGAUGCAGCAACGCCGCGUGCGGGAUGACGGCCUUCGGGUUGUAAACCGCUUUCGCCUGUGACGAAGCGUGAGUGACGGUAAUGGGUAAAGAAGCACCGGCUAACUACGUGCCAGCAGCCGCGGUGAUACGUAGGGUGCGAGCGUUGUCCGGAUUUAUUGGGCGUAAAGGGCUCGUAGGUGGUUGAUCGCGUCGGAAGUGUAAUCUUGGGGCUUAACCCUGAGCGUGCUUUCGAUACGGGUUGACUUGAGGAAGGUAGGGGAGAAUGGAAUUCCUGGUGGAGCGGUGGAAUGCGCAGAUAUCAGGAGGAACACCAGUGGCGAAGGCGGUUCUCUGGGCCUUUCCUGACGCUGAGGAGCGAAAGCGUGGGGAGCGAACAGGCUUAGAUACCCUGGUAGUCCACGCUGUAAACGGUGGGUACUAGGUGUGGGGUCCAUUCCACGGGUUCCGUGCCGUAGCUAACGCUUUAAGUACCCCGCCUGGGGAGUACGGCCGCAAGGCUAAAACUCAAAGGAAUUGACGGGGCCCCGCACAAGCGGCGGAGCAUGCGGAUUAAUUCGAUGCAACGCGUAGAACCUUACCUGGGUUUGACAUGGAUCGGGAGCGCUCAGAGAUGGGUGUGCCUCUUUUGGGGUCGGUUCACAGGUGGUGCAUGGCUGUCGUCAGCUCGUGUCGUGAGAUGUUGGGUUAAGUCCCGCAACGAGCGCAACCCUUGUUCACUGUUGCCAGCACGUUAUGGUGGGGACUCAGUGGAGACCGCCGGGGUCAACUCGGAGGAAGGUGGGGAUGACGUCAAGUCAUCAUGCCCCUUAUGUCCAGGGCUUCACGCAUGCUACAAUGGCUGGUACAGAGAGUGGCGAGCCUGUGAGGGUGAGCGAAUCUCGGAAAGCCGGUCUCAGUUCGGAUUGGGGUCUGCAACUCGACCUCAUGAAGUCGGAGUCGCUAGUAAUCGCAGAUCAGCAACGCUGCGGUGAAUACGUUCCCGGGGCUUGUACACACCGCCCGUCAAGUCAUGAAAGUUGGUAACACCCGAAGCCGGUGGCCUAACCGUUGUGGGGGAGCCGUCGAAGGUGGGACUGGUGAUUAGGACUAAGU